rnacentral:rRNA from 1 species
GAUGAACGCUGGCGGCGUGCCUAAUACAUGCAAGUCGAGCGAACAGACGAGGAGCUUGCUCCUCUGACGUUAGCGGCGGACGGGUGAGUAACACGUGGAUAACCUACCUAUAAGACUGGGAUAACUUCGGGAAACCGGAGCUAAUACCGGAUAAUAUAUUGAACCGCAUGGUUCAAUAGUGAAAGACGGUUUUGCUGUCACUUAUAGAUGGAUCCGCGCCGCAUUAGCUAGUUGGUAAGGUAACGGCUUACCAAGGCAACGAUGCGUAGCCGACCUGAGAGGGUGAUCGGCCACACUGGAGCUGAGACACGGUCCAGACUCCUACGGGAGGCAGCAGUAGGGAAUCUUCCGCAAUGGGCGAAAGCUUGACGGAGCAACGCCGCGUGAGUGAUGAAGGUCUUCGGAUCGUAAAACUCUGUUAUUAGGGAAGAACAAAUGUGUAAGUAACUAUGCACGUCUUGACGGUACCUAAACAGAAAGCCACGGCUAACUACGUG